rnacentral:rRNA from 1 species
UACGGGGGGGGGGCAAGCGUUGUUCGGAAUUACUGGGCGUAAAGGGCUCGUAGGUGGCCAACUAAGUCGGACGUGAAAUCCCUCGGCUUAACCGGGGAACUGCGUCUGAUACUGGAUGGCUUGAGUUCGGGAGAGGGAUGCGGAAUUCCAGGUGUAGCGGUGAAAUACGUAGAUAUCUGGAGGAACACCGGCGGCGAAGGCGGCUCACUGGCCAUAUACUGACGCUGAAACACGAAAGCGUGGGGAUCAAACAGGAGUUAGAA